rnacentral:rRNA from 1 species
AUUGAACGCUGGCGGCAUGCCUUACACAUGCAAGUCGAACGGUAACAGGUCUUCGGAUGCUGACGAGUGGCGAACGGGUGAGUAAUACAUCGGAACGUGCCUAGUAGUGGGGGAUAACUACUCGAAAGAGUGGCUAAUACCGCAUGAGAUCUACGGAUGAAAGCAGGGGAUCGAAAGACCUUGUGCUACUAGAACGGACGAUGGCAGAUUAGGUAGUUGGUGGGAUAAAAGCUUACAAAGCCGACGAUCUGUAGCUGGUCUGAGAGGACGAUCAGCCACACUGGGACUGAGACACGGCCCAGACUCCUACGGGAGGCAGCAGUGGGGAAUUUUGGACAAUGGGCGAAAGCCUGAUCCAGCAAUGCCGCGUGCAGGAUGAAGGCCUUCGGGUUGUAAACUGCUUUUGUACGGAACGAAAAGCCCUGGGUUAAUACCCUGGGGUCAUGACGGUACCGUAAGAAUAAGCACCGGCUAACUACGUGCCAGCCGCCGCAGUAAGAC